rnacentral:rRNA from 1 species
CGAAGUUAGAGAGAGCCUGCUUUUUCUAACUUAGUGGCGAACGGGUGAGUAACGCGUGAGGAACCUGCCUCAAAGAGGGGGACAACAGUUGGAAACGACUGCUAAUACCGCAUAAGCCCACAGCUCCGCAUGGAGCAGGGGGAAAAGGAGCAAUCCGCUUUGAGAUGGCCUCGCGUCCGAUUAGCUAGUUGGUGAGGUAACGGCCCACCAAGGCGACGAUCGGUAGCCGGACUGAGAGGUUGAUCGGCCACAUUGGGACUGAGACACGGCCCAGACUCCUACGGGAGGCAGCAGUGGGGAAUAUUGCACAAUGGGGGAAACCCUGAUGCAGCGACGCCGCGUGGAGGAAGAAGGUCUUCGGAUUGUAAACUCCUGUUGUUGGGGAAGAUAAUGACGGUACCCAACAAGGAAGUGACGGCUAACUACGUGCCAGCAGCCGCGGUAAAACGUAGGUCACAAGCGUUGUCCGG